ACCUGGUCUUGACAUCCACAGAACUUGCCAGAGAUGGCUUGGUGCCUUCGGGAACUGUGAGACAGGUGCUGCAUGGCUGUCGUCAGCUCGUGUUGUGAAAUGUUGGGUUAAGUCCCGCAACGAGCGCAACCCUUAUCCUUUGUUGCCAGCGGUUAGGCCGGGAACUCAAAGGAGACUGCCAGUGAUAAACUGGAGGAAGGUGGGGAUGACGUCAAGUCAUCAUGGCCCUUACGACCAGGGCUACACACGUGCUACAAUGGCGCAUACAAAGAGAAGCGACCUCGCGAGAGCAAGCGGACCUCAUAAAGUGCGUCGUAGUCCGGAUUGGAGUCUGCAACUCGACUCCAUGAAGUCGGAAUCGCUAGUAAUCGUAGAUCAGAAUGCUACGGUGAAUACGUUCCCGGGCCUUGUACACACCGCCCGUCACACCAUGGGAGUGGGUUGCAAAAGAAGUAGGUAGCUUAACCUUCGGGAGGGCGCUUACCACUUUGUGAUUCAUGACUGGGGUGAAGUCGUAACAAGGUAACCGUAGGGGAACCUGCGGUUGGAUCACCUCCUUACCUUAAAGAA
rnacentral:rRNA from 1 species